rnacentral:rRNA from 1 species
CCCUAAACGGCCGCGGUACUAAAACCGUGCAAAGGUAGCACAAUCACUUGUCCAUUAAAUGAGGACCCGUAUGAAAGGCAACAUGAGAGAAAACCUGUCUCCUAAGGCUAGCCAAUGAAAUUGUACUACCAGUACAAAAGCUGAUAUAUCAAAGCAAGACAAAAAGACCCUGUGGAACUUUUAACAAAUUGUUUAAACACAUAAACAACAGUUUCAGUUGGGACAACUUUAGAAAAAAUAAACUUCUUAAUUUACCAAGACAAACAAGUCUAAGACAACAAAGAUCCAGUAGUACUGACUAACGAAACAAGCUACCCCAGGGAUAACAGCGCCACCUUCUCAAAGAGUCCAUAUCAACAAGAAGAUCUACGACCUCGAUGUUGGAUCAGGGUACCCAGACGGUGCAACAGCUGUCAAUGGUUCGUUUGUUCAACGAUUAAUAUCCUACGCGAUCUGAGUUCAGA